GAUUAAAUCGGUGUUCUAGUGGGUGGGGCAGACCCUGGGCUAGCAGGCCCCAGGGAGAACUCCAAUGGCAUCUGUGUCAGCAUGCCCACACCAGGCCACAACAAUGGCCGCCGCCAAUGUCCCAGUCCCUGGAGAGGUCUCACCUCUCACCGAGAUGCACUCAGAGCCUAUCAGCAAUAUUGGAAGCUGUGGAGAUAGGACCCUAGACAGUCUUGAAUACCUAUCUUACUUGGGAUGGCAAGAUCCCAGUGAUGACUGGAAUUGACAUUAGAUUCAUGUUGGCCAUACAGAAUAAACACGAACCUGUUAAGCAAGCCGAAUUUUGGAGGAAGUACACACACAUAUUAAAGAAGAGCUGGAAACUCUACUGUAAUAAGGGGUAGGGAAAUCCCUUGACCACUAUCUGAGGGAUCUUGUUUGAUUAGGUCAGGAUGGAAACCACUGGCAAAAUUAGCUCAAAGACUUCCUGAGGCUUGGCAAAAUGAAAUGAGAAUGAGAUAAAAGGAUUCUGUAGAAAAGCUACAUAAUUCUGUAAAAUUGUUUUGCCUUUAUAAUCUGAAAGGAAAGAAAUUUAAAAUAUUGCAAAUGAGUGAUUUUUGAAAUUAAUUAAAAUGAAUGAAACAAAUUAGUGAAAUAAUGUUAUAGCAUGA